rnacentral:rRNA from 1 species
AUUGAACGCUGGCGGCAUGCUUUACACAUGCAAGUCGAGCGGCAGCGCGGGGGCAACCCUGGCGGCGAGCGGCGGACGGGUGAGUAGAGCAUCGGAACGUAUCCCGUAGUGGGGGACAACCCAGCGAAAGCUGGGCUAAUACCGCAUAUGCUCUACGGAGGAAAGUGGGGGACUUCGCAAGGAGCCUCACGCUAGGGGAGCGGCCGAUGUCCGAUUAGCUAGUUGGUGGGGUAAAGGCCCACCAAGGCGACGAUCGGUAGCUGGUCUGAGAGGAUGAUCAGCCACACUGGGACUGAGACACGGCCCAGACUCCUACGGGAGGCAGCAGUGGGGAAUUUUGGACAAUGGGGGCAACCCUGAUCCAGCCAUGCCGCGUGCGGGAAGAAGGCCUUCGGGUUGUAAACCGCUUUUGUCUGGGAAGAAAAGGCGCCUCCUAAUACGGGGCGUUCUUGACGGUACUGGAAGAAUAAGCACCGGCUAACUACGUGCCAGCAGCCGCAGUAAAAC